rnacentral:rRNA from 1 species
AGAUGGCGACCGGCGCACGGGUGAGUAACACGUAUCCAACCUGCCGAUAACUCGGGGAUAGCCUUUCGAAAGAAAGAUUAAUACCCGAUGGUAUAAUCAGACCGCAUGGUUUGAUUAUUAAAGAAUUUCGGUUAUCGAUAGGGAUGCGUUCCAUUAGGCAGUUGGUGAGGUAACGGCUCACCAAACCUUCGAUGGAUAGGGGUUCUGAGAGGAAGGUCCCCCACAUUGGAACUGAGACACGGUCCAA